UACAGAGGGUGCGAGCGUUAAUCGGAAUUACUGGGCGUAAAGCGCACGUAGGCGGCUUGGUAUGUCGGGUGUGAAAUCCCCGGGCUCAACCUGGGAACUGCAUCCGAAACUGCCUUGCUAGAGUAUGGGAGAGGGAAGUGGAAUUUCCGGUGUAGCGGUGAAAUGCGUAGAUAUCGGAAGGAACAUCAGUGGCGAAGGCGAGUCCCUGGACAACACCUGACACUGAGGCACGAAAGCUAGGGGAGCAAACAGG
rnacentral:rRNA from 1 species